rnacentral:rRNA from 1 species
UGGGGAAUUUUGCGCAAUGGGGGAAACCCUGACGCAGCAACGCCGCGUGCGGGAUGACGGCCUUCGGGUUGUAAACCGCUUUCAGUGGGAAAGAUAAUGACGGUACCCACACAAGAAGCUCCGGCUAAAUACGUGCCAGCAGCCGCGGUAAUACGUAUGGAGCAAGCGUUAUCCGGAUUUAUUGGGCGUAAAGCGCGCGUAGGCGGCUUGUUAAGCAAGGUCUUAAAUCUUGGGGCUCAACCUCAAGCCGGAUCUUGAACUGGCAGGCUCGAGUAUGGUAGAGGAAAGUGGAAUUCCCAGUGUAGCGGUGAAAUGCGCAGAUAUUGGGAAGAACACCGAUGGCGAAGGCAGCUUUCUGGGCCAUUACUGACGCUGAGGUGCGAAAGCUAGGGGAGCAAACAGG